rnacentral:snoRNA from 1 species
UGGCUUUUUCAAAAAGGCCAUUUGGGACCUAAAUGGGGUGCUCUUAAGGCUGUGACCAAAGGUUGAAGUAUCCACAGGAUGCAAUGGUCACUCAGAGACAGUAGUUCUGUUUUGCCUGCUGGACUACAGUG